rnacentral:rRNA from 1 species
AUUGAACGCUGGCGGCAUGCCUUACACAUGCAAGUCGAACGGUAACAGGUCUUCGGUUGCUGACGAGUGGCGAACGGGUGAGUAAUACAUCGGAACGUGCCCGAUCGUGGGGGAUAACGAAGCGAAAGCUUUGCUAAUACCUCAUACGAUCUACGGAUGAAAGCGGGGGAUCUCCGGACCUCGCGCGGACGGAGCGGCCGAUGGCAGAUUAGGUAGUUGGUGGGGUAAAAGCUUACCAAGCCGACGAUCUGUAGCUGGUCUGAGAGGAUGAUCAGCCACACUGGGACUGAGACACGGCCCAGACUCCUACGGGAGGCAGCAGUGGGGAAUUUUGGACAAUGGGCGCAAGCCUGAUCCAGCCAUGCCGCGUGCAGGAUGAAGGCCUUCGGGUUGUAAACUGCUUUUGUACGGAACGAAAAGGUGCCUUCUAAUAAAGGGCGCUCAUGACGGUACCGUAAGAAUAAGCACCGGCUAACUACGUG